UAGAUACGUCAGCUUAUUUUACUUGCUGACUGAUGUAAAUGAUUUCUUCCUUGUUGAAAAGAUAAACAAGAGUUGGGUUAACUCUCGCUUUAUCUUCCACAAUCCCUCAUUUUCACAUAUCAACAACAUUUUAUUUGAGCUCUAGCUAUCUGGCAUACACAUGGUAGAACCUUAAGGAACAGGAGGACAGGGUCGACCCAUUAAGUCAAAAUCCGAAGAGAAGACUGUAGACGGGAUGUGGAGACAAUACUGAUAAAUAAGUAUAUGAAACUAUGCAAGAAAUCACUGAUCAACAUGAUGUCAUGAUAAUCUAUUCUGCCUUUCAGCAGUUUGGUGGUACCACAUUGGAAAGAUGAAGGAUUUGGCCAAAGCGACAAGUAAAUAAAAAGAGCAUUGAAUGUUUCAUAUCCAAAAAAGUGCAAGUGCAGAAGCAAGGAACUCAGGUAACUUAUAGAAUUGACUAGUUGAUUUUAUUGAUAUGUUUGGAGAUAAAAUUGAUUAGGGGUUGCGCGAACGCAGACCCCACUAACACAAAUUAUGACGUACACUCUUCCUCGUUGGGAAGAUGUUAGGCAGGCAUCCCUCCGAAAGUGCAAUGGAGGCUACCUGCCUAGGCCAUGAGCCUUCUUGAUGUCCCAUUGACCCCGCCCAGGUAAGUAAAUUUGCCAAUGAUCCAUGCUUUGAAUUUAUAUCUAUUUUGUUCUUCCCAUUACUGAUUGUCAUUGAUGUGGGACGGAACGUGGAAUGUAGAGGUCAAAUCAUAAGUAUCAAAGUCUCUGAUGGUGACAAUGAAGUAGCUAGCAUCUUAAGUUCUCACCCUGUGAUAUAGUGUCACGGUAGAAACAUAUCCUAAUUUCUCAUGUCAUGCUGUCUUGCUCUCUUUCCAGGGCACUUGCACUCAGGAGAAAUCUAAGAACACUUGAAGUACGUAACGAAGUCAACGUGGUGCUUUAGAGUUGAAUCAAGGUAACAUGGUUAUCUUUAUGUUUGCUUGAAGCCCACAAGAAAUCCAGUUUUUUGGGUGUGAAAGAGUUGCGUGGAAAGCAACACCUGAUAGCCUCGAAGAGCAACCGAAGACCAAACUGAUGUUGACUCUAUCACACAUAGGAAACCCGCUGUUGAGGCUGGAAUGACCAGAAAAAGAGAGAACACUUUGUUAGCUUGGUCAUGCAUCUGGGAAAAUAGCUAAGAGCACUUGAAGAACGUGACAAAGUCAACAAGGUGCUUUGGAGCUGAAUUAAGCACAGGGUUCCAAAGAGUCAUGGUACAUUAGAGACAGCCUCUUAGCUUUGCCAGGACAUGAUGGUUGUGUUUUUUUUCAACUUGGCAAGAUUACAUGUAACACAGUUGCGCCGUCUCCCUAGGUAUCUCAAGAUUUUGGCUUCUGUGAUGGAUUGUUCUGAGGCUGUUGCGGACUUGCAUAUCUUAUGCCUAGUGCAGUAUGAAUCUUCACCAUCGGUGACAUAAUCGAAAAAAAACUUUCCUAUCUGAAUGAUCAUCCCACGUGUAAUGUUGACUCUAUCUAACUAUUUCGCACAGUAAAUCCACAGUUGGGGAAGAAAUUAUCAGAAAAGUAGAGGUAUGUAAGAUUACAAAACCUUCUUUUUGCGUCUUGCUGACUAAGAAGUGCAGUAUCUGACAUAUCGGUUUUAAGUCUAGACUCUAGAUUUGGAGUUUGUAAUGCAAUCUUGGGGUUCUGCAUUUAAAAUCUUAAAACUUACACUGCCACUUCUGAUAUAAUCUUUCUCAUUUCACAAGUUGGUGUGCUAUGUGUGUAUAGACAGUAUAGUGUAUGUUGCCAUGUUAAUUAUUGGCAGGAUCAUGGGAUGCUUUAUGAGAUUACCUAAGUUCGAGUCCUCCCCCACAAUUUUCAGUAUGACACUGUCACUUUUAGGUUUAAAAUGAGAAGUGGUAUCUCUUGUGCAAGCUUGACUUGCAUUAUGAGAUAACUGAUCCAGGUACGUUUGGUUUAUUCAAGGUUCUUUUUAAACAUCAUGUCUAUAAACUAUAGCUGUGGAGUUGCAUAGUCUUAAUCUUACCAACGGCAGAUCAGAAAGUCUCAGAAUAUAUUCCUUUCUAAAGGGAUGUCAUAAUUUUCCUCCUUAUUCCUUACAUUCUUCCUUUUAAAUUGUGUUCUGCAUUAGAAAAUGUUUUUGUCCAACCGAACAAAGUCUUACUUAAGAGAGAUAAUAAAUGAGAAGGGAGGAGCCUGUAUCUAAUUAGAUUGGCUGUCUUUUCCUAUUUUGGCUUAUGAAGACUGCUUUUUGUUAGAAUGGACCAUGGUGAUUUGAUUUCCUGUACCUCCAUGAUUUACCAAUAAUCAGUCUCAAAUUUUUUACCCUCAUUUUUGCAGGGCCAUCUAUAUUCCCACCAUCCCCCUGUUUUAUCUAGUGUUAAACUCUAUGUUAUUCGGACACCUUUCUUUACCUCAAUAAUCGGGUGUCGACACGACACUUCACUUGUAUACUUCAUUUUAAACUAAAAACUUGUCUUUUUUCUACAAAAUAGUCGAGUCGGACACUUGGACACCCGUAUACGAGUAGACACUCGAUUCGUGUCUGAGUAACGUAGGUUAAACUUGGUGUAUGUGCUAUGAGUUCUCUUAUUUAGAGUGGUAUUUUGUUUGAAGGUGCAUCUAGCCCAUGUUGGUGUAGCAUGCCUGAAGACAUCUAACGUUUGCGAGCCUGUGUUUGCACUUUGCAGUCUGUUUCUGUGAUUCUUUGCUACAACUCCCACAUUGAACAUUUCAGCAACUUUUUCGUAGUUUAUUUAACAGAGGCUGCAGCAUAUGAUUGUCUCUUCGGAGACAUCUGAUAAAAUUGGAACGAUACAGAGAAGAUUAGCAUGGCCCCUGCGCAAGGAUGACACGCACAAAUCGAGAAAUGGUCCAAAUUUUUUUGGCCUUUUUUGCCCCGUUACUGCAGCCUUGUAGGUGAUGGAAAGAUCCUGAGAAUUGAGAUGCUUAAAAGCUUAAGAGUUUAUCACACUUUGUGCAAGGAUAGCAUACAGAAACCGAAGCUGAAGAAAUAUGCAGUAUUUUUCAGUCACUGUAUUUUUGUUCCAUAUUGCAAGAAAAUUCAAUACUGGUGUUAAUGGAAGUUCCAUAAAGGAACUCCCUCCAAAAAUAAACGUAUGCCACUAUAUGCAGCGAGCACACGGUAUUCUUUAGUAAAAGGCGAAAGAAUAGUUCGCUCUGUGCUCACUGCAUGGCUGCGUACUUUUUCAUUGAAAAGUGUCUUCAGUUUUAUUAUUCAUCAUGCUUAGUGGGACAAUUUCUUCGUCUGAUGUGGGACAAUCCUAUCGUUCCAUUGUUCCAUAUUGUACUUAUCUUUGGUAUUAGAAUACAACACUAUGUAUCUGGAAAACCAAGGGAAUCCUUGUGUUAUUGCCAUUUGUAUGUUGCAUUUGGUUGUCGGUAUAAUUUUCUAUAAAAUGGGAAAAAAAUGUAUCAGUAGGAAGAAGGAUUCGUGACAAUAUAGUUGUGUGAUUUACCAA